GAAUUCUUAGUAUAUUAGUAUGACUAACUGUUGAUUAGUAGGUUUUUGGAAAUUCU
rnacentral:tRNA from 1 species